UGGGGAAUUUUGGACAAUGGGCGAAAGCCUGAUCCAGCAAUGCCGCGUGUGUGAAGAAGGCCUUCGGGUUGUAAAGCACUUUUGUCCGGAAAGAAAUCCUUGGCUCUAAUACAGUCGGGGGAUGACGGUACCGGAAGAAUAAGCACCGGCUAACUACGUGCCAGCAGCCGCGGUAAUACGUAGGGUGCAAGCGUUAAUCGGAAUUACUGGGCGUAAAGCGUGCGCAGGCGGUUUGCUAAGACCGAUGUGAAAUCCCCGGGCUCAACCUGGGAACUGCAUUGGUGACUGGCAGGCUAGAGUAUGGCAGAGGGGGGUAGAAUUCCACGUGUAGCAGUGAAAUGCGUAGAGAUGUGGAGGAAUACCGAUGGCGAAGGCAGCCCCCUGGGCCAAUACUGACGCUCAUGCACGAAAGCGUGGGGGAGCAAACAGGAUUAGAUACCCUGGUAGUCCACGCCCUAAACGAUGUCAACUAGUUGUUGGGGAUUCAUUUCCUUAGUAACGUAGCUAACGCGUGAAGUUGACCGCCUGGGGAGUACGGUCGCAAGAUUAAAACUCAAUGAAUUGACGGGGUCAUAGCUGUUUCC
rnacentral:rRNA from 1 species